GUCAUAUUCCUUUCUAUGAUUACUGGUUUUCAGACGGAGGGAGUUUCCUGUGGAUUGAGUAGUCUGCAGAGUUAAACUUUACGUUUUACAAUAUGGUUGUUCUGCGAACUGGACUUAUUUUUCUGUUCUUUGGCUUAGUUGCGGGAAGCAGAAUGUUCAAGAAAAUGAAGAAAAUCUCUAAACCAACAUGGGAUAAAGCUAGAAAUACACAG